CACGUAGGGGGCAAGCGUUGUCCGGAUUUAUUGGGCGUAAAGAGCUCGUAGGCGGCUCAGUAAGUCAGGCGUGAAACCUCCAGGCUCAACCUGGAGACGCCACCUGAUACUGCUGUGGCUAGAGUCCGGUAGGGGAGCGUGGAAUUCCUGGUGUAGCGGUGAAAUGCGCAGAUAUCAGGAGGAACACCAAUGGCGAAGGCAGCUCGCUGGGACGUGACUGACGCUGAGGCGCGAAAGCGUGGGGAGCAAACAGG
rnacentral:rRNA from 1 species